UGAAACAAUCUAGAGUUUCAUUUUACAUAAAAGCAGGAGCAAAUAUUUGCACUAUUACAAAUUCAGUCCGACAUGAUUAUGAAGGCGAAGAUAAUGUAUUGUGUGCUCUGCUGUACAACAAAGAUAUGUGCAUUGUAUGUCCGUCGUUAUCUAUCAUUUUGAGUGACCAAAAACAAGCCAUCAUGGAACUUUACAAACGGAUAGCUAUCUUCGCGAUAAUAUGUACAGGAGUUUGUUUGGCUGUUGAUCCAGAUUGGUCAUGUGACUUUGAAGAGGACAAAUGUGGAAUCAUUGGGGGAAAAGGGGACUGGACAAUCGACAGAGGGGCUCUAAGGGCAGAUGUGUCUCCAAGCAGGUCAGGUGACAAGUUCACAUUUCCAUCCCGCACAAAUUCACAUCACCGCGAGGAUUUUUAUCUUUUGGAUACUUCCUUGAGGGUACUGAUUCAUCCAUGUCGGUCAAGGUCUGCAGGGAAGCAAGGGGAGCUGCAUUUACAGUUGUUGGUAUGGGACGUGCGAUGCUAGAUAUUGAAGUCGUUCCUUACUCAUGUGCAAGCAAAAUGGAUGUUGAGAUAACUUUCAUUGCCAUAAGGGGUCGUGUAGCUCCUCAGUUCAGUGUAGGCUACAUUCAAAUAUGUGAAACAACAUAUAUAUAUCCGCUUGUAACAAAACAGCCAUCAACUGAAUCAUUCACUUCGACCACUUUAACCACUUCCUUAGAAGUUUCAUCUGUAACACAACCAUCAACUGAAUCAACUAGCACUAACUUCCAGUCCAAAUCACACUCACCUA